CCUACGGGAGGCAGCAGUGGGGAAUCUUAGACAAUGGGGGCAACCCUGAUCUAGCCAUGCCGCGUGAGUGAUGAAGGCCUUAGGGUUGUAAAGCUCUUUCAGCUGGGAAGAUAAUGACGGUACCAGCAGAAGAAGCCCCGGCUAACUCCGUGCCAGCAGCCGCGGUAAUACGGAGGGGGCUAGCGUUGUUCGGAAUUACUGGGCGUAAAGCGCACGUAGGCGGACCAGAAAGUCAGAGGUGAAAUCCCAGGGCUCAACCUUGGAACUGCCUUUGAAACUAUUGGUCUGGAGUUCGAGAGAGGUGAGUGGAAUUCCGAGUGUAGAGGUGAAAUUCGUAGAUAUUCGGAGGAACACCAGUGGCGAAGGCGGCUCACUGGCUCGAUACUGACGCUGAGGUGCGAAAGCGUGGGGAGCAAACAGGAUUAGAUACCCUAGUAGUC
rnacentral:rRNA from 1 species